UGCGUGCGCUUUUCUUUGCUUGCCGGCGUCUCAUCUUUUCUUUUUGUUGUGGUUUUUUUUUUGGCUCUUUUGGCGUGGCACGCAGCGACUGUGGUGUGCGCGUGUGUCUCUCCUAUCCACAGACAUGAUGCAUGCAUGCUUGUUACUCUUUGUAUUCUGUUGCUGCGCGUGUGACGCUCCACAUCGUUAGCCUACAGAUCCCCCUCUUGUGUUCUCUGCUUUCUGUUUUCUGGUUGCUCCUGCGUCUCGCCAAUAUCGUUGAAGAUUCAAGUUUUUUUUUUAUUUCCUCUCCAACGUGCCCACUCGACAGCGAACAGGCCAGCAAACUAUAUGAGUGCACAGUCCCAGCUGUUUACUUUCCACUGCUGCACGGUGGCUGCUCAUCAAGGACAUAUCGGGUCAGCCAGCACCGUUGGGCGUCGUUCCGCCCACUUGGAUUCCACUGCAGGCAGCGCAGACCAGGUACGGGAUCACACUCGGCAUCGCCGCAACGCAGCAAGAGCAGGAAUAAAACGUGGGCGGAUGCGUGCAUUCGACGACCUGUCGACACGAUUUGUAGUGAGUCGUUACAAGCGUGGCCAUGACCCGCAGGUCACCUCGGCACAGCACCGGCCCAGACCUGUCCACUGGCACCGAGAGUCGGCCAGCCGUGCCCCGAGGGCGGGCUGUGCAGGCGCUUGGCUUCCCUCACAAAGAGUGUGGGGUACGGGGCCCUGAUACGACGGUGAGACCGCCGGCGAACAUGAGGGCAUAUCGUGGAAGAGGAGCAGCAGUUCGAGAGGCGAGAAUGUCGCGCAAGGGUUUUCAUGACUUACUGACAAUUGUGGUUGCGCUUCUCUGUUUGCGGGUGCGUGCCCGUGUCUUUCUCUUCCUCUGCUGCUCGUCCUUUCUUCCGGUAAGCUGGCACGUUCUCAGCACGGAGGAAAGGCAGAUACACCGAAAAAAAAAACGCACAUAGAGAAAAGAGUGGAAAGGUGACGAAACGUAUGCGUCUGCGGCCUCGCUACCACGGGCGUGGUUGCUAGUGCUGCUCCUGCUGCUGCUACUCAGCGCAGGCAGGCAUCUCUUUCUUUUCCUGCUUGCGCUUACAUUGAACUCUGUGCGCGUCGACUUGUGCUUACACUCCUUCUUUUCCCUUUUUUUUCGUGUAG
rnacentral:misc_RNA from 1 species